rnacentral:rRNA from 1 species
UACAGAGGUCUCAAGCGUUGUUCGGAUUCAUUGGGCGUAAAGGGUGCGUAGGUGGCGCCGUAAGUCAGGUGUGAAAUUUCGGAGCUUAACUCCGAAACUGCAUUUGAUACUGCGGUGCUUGAGGACUGGAGAGGAGACUGGAAUUUACGGUGUAGCAGUGAAAUGCGUAGAGAUCGUAAGGAAGACCAGUGGCGAAAGCGGCUUCCUGGACCAGAACUGACGAUCAGGCACGAAAGCGUGGGGAGCAAACAGG